rnacentral:rRNA from 1 species
GUGUGCCUAAUACAUGCAAGUCGAACGCGUUGGCCCAAUUGAUUGAUGGUGCUUGCACCUGAUUGAUUUUGGUCGCCAACGAGUGGCGGACGGGUGAGUAACACGUAGGUAACCUGCCCAGAAGCGGGGGACAACAUUUGGAAACAGAUGCUAAUACCGCAUAACAACGUUGUUCGCAUGAACAACGCUUAAAAGAUGGCUUCUCGCUAUCACUUCUGGAUGGACCUGCGGUGCAUUAGCUUGUUGGUGGGGUAAUGGCCUACCAAGGCGAUGAUGCAUAGCCGAGUUGAGAGACUGAUCGGCCACAAUGGGACUGAGACACGGCCCAUACUCCUACGGGAGGCAGCAGUAGGGAAUCUUCCACAAUGGGCGCAAGCCUGAUGGAGCAACACCGCGUGAGUGAAGAAGGGUUUCGGCUCGUAAAGCUCUGUUGUUAAAGAAGAACACGUAUGAGAGUAACUGUUCAUACGUUGACGGUAUUUAACCAGAAAGUCACGGCUAACUACGUGCCAGCAGCCGCGGUAAUACGUAGGUGGCAAGCGUUAUCCGGAUUUAUUGGGCGUAAAAAGAGUGCAGGCGGUUUUCUAAGUCUGAUGUGAAAGCCUUCGGCUUAACCGCGAGAAAUGGAUCGGAAAAAUGGAUUACUUGA